GGCAUGCCCCGCGCGCCCGCGCUCGCCUCCGCUUGUUUUGGUCCCGGGGGGCGCGGCGGGCCGGAGGGGCUGGGAUUGAAGACCACCAGGCGCUGCCAAACACUAAUUCGGCGUCCAGAGCAGUUUCAAACCGGAACGGGCCGCGCUCCCUCGCCCUACUUGAUCCAGUCAACGAAUGCCGAGCACCUACCACGUGCAAGGCUCCGGAGACACAAAGACGGGGGAGAAGCCUUGUGCAGACGGGAACAAAGGCUGUGGUUCAUCCAUAUUGCGAUCGUGCCUACACAGGAAAAGAUUUUCUUUUUAAUCACUCAAGGCCUUAGUCUGGUGUGGUGGGGCGUGCCUGGAAGCCCAGCUACUCCGGAGGCUGAGGCAGGAGGCUCACUUGAGCCAAGGAGUUCCAGGCUGUAAUGAGCUAUGACCAGGAUACUGCACUCCAGCAUGGGCAACAGAGCGAGACUCUGUCUCAAAAAAAAAAAAAAAAAAAGUGACUGAAGGAAUGUUGAAAGGAAUAAUAGAUUGUUAAAUUGUUUUGUGUUUGUACAAUUGUUUUUUUUUCUGACCUUAAAAAAACUAAAAGUAGACUGGGCAUGGUGGCUCAUGUCUGUAUUCCCAGCACUUUGGGAAGAUGGCUUGAGCCCGGGAGUUCCAGACCAGCCUGGGCAACAUAGGGAGACCUCAUCUCUUCAAAACAUUCUUAAAAAUUAGCCAGGCAUGCUGGCGGGCAUCUGUAAUCCAAGCUACUUGCGAGGCUGAGGAGGAAGAAUGGCUUGGACUCAGGAGGUCAAGGCUGCAGUAAGCCAUGAUUGUCAGUACAGUAAGCCACUGCACUCUAGCUUGGGCAACAGAGUGGAAACAAUACAAAUGGCCACCAACUGAUUAAUGGUAAAUAAAAUGUGACAUACCCAUGCAAUAAAAAAGAAUGGAGUACUGACACAUGCUACAACGUGGAUGAACCUCGAAAACAUUGUAUUAAGUGAAAGAAGUGUGGAGCCCGAAAAUUUGAGACAGGUCUCAGUUAACCAGGAAGUUUAUUUUGCCAAGGUUGAGGAACAGCACCUGUGACACAGACUCAGGAAGUCCUGACGACAUGUGCCCAAGGUCGUUGGGGCAUAGCUUGGUGUUAUACAUUUUAGGGAGACAUGAGGCAUCCGUCAAUAUGUGUAAGAAGUACAUUGGUUGUGUUUGGAAAGGCGGGACAACUCGAAGCAAAGGCAGGAAGACUCAAGGGGGGAGGGGGCUUCCAAGUCACAGAUAGGUGAGAGACAAAUGGUUGCACUCCUUUGAGUUUUUGAUUAGCCUUUCCAAAGGAGGCAAUCAGAUGUGCAUUUAUCUCAGUGAACACAGUGAUAACUUUGAAUAGAAUGAGAGGCAGAUUUGUUCUAAGCAGUUCCCAGCUUGAAUUUUCCCUUUAGUAAUUUGGGGGGGCCCAAGAUAUUUCCCUUUCACAGAAGCUAGACACAAUAGACCAUAUAUUGUAUGAUUUCAUUUAUAGGAAAUGUCCAGAAUAGGCAAACCCAUAGAAACAGAAAGUAGACUAAUGGUUGCCUAGGGAUGGAGGAGGGGAAAUGGUAGUAAGAGACUAAUGGGGUGAUUUAAAUGUUCUGGAAUUAGAUUGUGGUAAUGGUUGCAUGCACAGCUCUGAACAUACUAAAAACCAUUGAAUUGUAUGCUUUGAAUUAACUGUAUGGCAUAUGAAUUCUAUUGCAAUAAAGCC
rnacentral:lncRNA from 1 species